rnacentral:rRNA from 1 species
GAUCCUGGCUCAGGAUGAACGCUAGCGGCAGGCUUAACACAUGCAAGUCGAGGGGCAGCGCGGGGCGGCAACGUCCUGGCGGCGACCGGCGGAAGGGUGCGUAACGCGUGAGCGACAUGCCCGUUGCCCGGGGACAACCGGUGGAAACGCCGACUAAUCCCCGAUGGGACGGAGGCCCUCAUGGGUCUCUGUUGAAAGUUACGGCGGCGACGGAGUUGGUCGUCGCGUCCGACUUAGUCCACGUUGGUCGGGGUAACGGGACCCGACCCAACGG